CCCCCACGAGGGGCGCUGCCCCCUCGACCCUCGCGACCUGACCGGGCAGGUCGAUCCCCGUUUGUGCGCCCCGAAGCGGCGAAGUGGCAAACAAUUUUGUUUAAACGGAUUGAGUCGAGCUUUUGAGUAUUUGGUCGAAGUCGAUACGAAGUCACUUUAAUCGAUUUUCAAUUCUCGAUUUAUUUAACCAAUAUCCAACACAUAUACCAACCAACAUUCAACUUCCAAGAUACUCGAACACAUUUAACAAUGGGAGCACUCUAAUUUACAUGGAUCAAUGAACUGACUAGUGUUUUAAUGAUUUUUAUAUGAAAAUCGAACUCAAAAUAAAUGCCAAAGGUUUUUUGAAGUGAAUAUGCAACUAUAUGAUAGUACAGGUAUAGUGCAAGUGUAUGAUUCUACUGCUGGGGAUCCUAUACAUAAUAGUCGGAGAGCUGUGUUUAAAAAAAUACAACUUUCAAAAUAAGAUGUCUCAUUUCUAAAUUAUUUUUGUCUCCAAACAUAUCAUUUUUUAUUCAAAAAUACAGCAUUCUGAUUGACUUAGUUUGAUUUUUUUAUGGUGUGGGGUGCAUUGGAUUGGGUAAUCAUGAUUAAAAUACACAAUAACAAUCGAAGGAUAAAUAAGAAAUUAUAAAAUACUAGUAAGGGAAUUAUUGUCCGAAAAUGAUGUUUGUAUUGUAAAUAAAGUAUUAUUUGUGAGUGAUUAUUGUACCACUAUAAUCUUAAUUGUAAUAUGAGUUUUGAUUCUCA
rnacentral:lncRNA from 1 species